rnacentral:misc_RNA from 1 species
UAAGCCAUACAGCCCUGCAGCAUCAGGCAACAGAGUUGUUUUGCCGCGACUUCACCCCAAAGUCGGCGACCACGUGUAACGCCCUCCUUACAACCACCUGGUAAAACCCACCUCCCAUGAGGUGAGCGCGGCGCAAGACUCCGGGGAAUGCGGCCUCACGGGGCGACAGGCUGAUCCCGCGACUCUGACUUCACGCAGUCGAGUUGCACCGCGGAUCCGGACUACGAUCGGCGCCUCCUUCGUGGGUUGGCGACGCCCCGCGAUGUGUGAAGCCCCCACCAUAAGGGCCACGAGGGACUCCGGACGUCAUCCUCCACCUUCCGGCCUCCGUCGGCGUCCAUUAGAGUGCCCCGUAGCACCCACGAUUAAGGGCCGCCCGCCGCGGGACUUAACCCAACAUCCACGACACGAGCCGACGACACCGGGCGUAGGGCCCGUGUUCCGGUACCCUUGAUAUGUCUGGAAUCCCGAAGAGACUGGGAUGUCGCAAGGGAACCGGAACACAGGUGUUGCAUGGCUGUCGUCAGCUCGUGUCGUGAGAUGCUGGGUUAAGUCCCGGCAAUGAGCGCAACCCUUGUCAUUAGUUGCUACGAAAGGGCACUCUAAUGAGACUGCCGGUGACAAACCGAGGAAGGUGGGGAUGACGUCAAGUCCUCAUGGCCCUUAUGGGUAGGGCUUCACACGUCAUACAAUGGUCGGGACAGAGGGUCGCCAACUGUGAGGGGAGCCAAUCCCAGAAACCCGAUCGUAGUCCGAUCGCAGUCUGCAACUCGACUGCGUGAAGUCGGAAUCGCUAGUAAUCGCGGAUCAGCAUGUCGCAGGAAUAUGCCCCGGCCUGUACCACGCCGCCCUUUCGAGCAGCCCAGGUGCAAGGAGUGGUUUUUACUAGAAAAAGAAGUUACGUAACGUGGUGAGGGCGAUUGCUACGGUAGGAUUCAUGACUGGGGUGAAGUCGUAACAAGGUAA